AUUGAACGCUGGCGGCAGGCCUAACACAUGCAAGUCGAACGAGUGGCGGACGGGUGAGUAAUGUCUGGGAAACUGACUGAUGGAGGGGGAUAACUACUGGAAACGGUAGCUAAUACCGCAUACCAUCAGAUGUGCCCCGAUGGGAGUAGCUUGUUGGUGGUGUAACUGCUCACCAAGGCGACGAUCCCUAGAUGGUCUGAGGGGAUGACCAGCCACACUGGAACUGAGACACGGUCCAGACUCCUACGGUAGGAAGAAGUGGGGAAUAUUGCACAAUGGGCGCAAGCCUGAUGCAGCCAUGCCGCGUUUAUGAAGAAGGCCUUUGGGUUGUAAAGUACUUUCAGCGGGGAGGCGUUACCCGCAGAAGAAGCACCGGCUAAAGACGGGCCAGCAGCCGCGGUAAUUC
rnacentral:rRNA from 1 species